rnacentral:rRNA from 1 species
UACGUAGGGUGCAAGCGUUGUCCGGAAUUAUUGGGCGUAAAGAGCUCGUAGGCGGUUUGUCGCGUCUGCUGUGAAAACUCGGGGCUUAACCCCGAGCCUGCAGUGGAUACGGGCAGACUAGAGGUAGGUAGGGGAGAAUGGAAUUCCCGGUGUAGCGGUGAAAUGCGCAGAUAUCGGGAGGAACACCGGUGGCGAAGGCGGUUCUCUGGGCCUUACCUGACGCUGAGGAGCGAAAGCGUGGGGAGCGAA